UUGUUUGGUUUGGAUGGUCAUGAUUGUUUGAUCAGCCAUAUGACACUGUUAGGACUGAAUGGGCGGUUCAGAUUGAUGGAUUUGACUAUUUGAGCAUUCAGUACAUUUAGUGCCCAUUUGGAUUGUUGUAUUGGUCAAUCCAGGAUUGGCAAUGCUUGCAGUUCAAACAAUUUUUUUUGUGCUAAUCCAGUUAAAAAUGCAUGUAUUGGUCCGUUUUGUAUUGACCAAUACAAGGUUCCAAAUGGUCUCUUGCAAUGCUUGGCUUGAAUGAUUGUUGUUUUAGUUUUGGCAUGUAUGUCUGGAUAUUUUGGCUAUAGCUUCCUACUUGGAUUCGACUUUUACAAUGUUAGCUUGAACUAUUGAUGUUUUAGUUUGUGUGAGCGUGCUUUGGCCUUAACUUCCUACUUGAAUAUAGAACUUGGGAGUCUUGGGCUGUAAGCUCUUUUAAUGCUCUAAAACAGGGUGAUUUUCACACACACAUUUCUUCAAAAGGUCCCAUGACAGUCUUCAAAAGUUGUGACUUGAAAGUCAUAGGUUUGGUUGAUUGGACCAAUCGAUUAAUAGAUUCCUACUUGGGAGGUUGUAAUUGGGCAAGGCUUGCUUUGUUAGAAAGGUUUUCCUACAACGUAUAUUCCAUGUAAUGGUGAAAGUUUCAUCUGCAAGUUCUUUGUAGUCUCCUAAUCCAAUUUUUUAGGAAAGUAGAUGCCUCCCUUGCUCAUUUGCUCAUAGAUGUGCUCUUGUGAUUUGAUUUUGUUCUCUAUCUCGAGGUUUGGUUACUAAUCUGGUCAACCUCAAUCCAACUCAAAACAAAAUCAUAGUGAAACACAAUUAAACUUCUUUGAUACCAUUUUACAUGUCAGAAAUAUAAAAGCACAAGAACAUUUUAUAUUAAAAGAACUUGAGAACUCUACAAAAGGUUAGUGCUCUGAGGUGCACAAACCGCUACAACAUGGCUAGCUUAUACAACUUAGGCCCCCUGAAAUCAACGAGUGUCUUCGGCUAUUCUCCAUGAAUCCAGUGGGGAUUAAACAACAAUGUACUAAUAUAAACACAUACUAGGUCUCUGUUUUCAGUAUGGUGUAGGAGGACAGACGAGCUUGUUGAUGGCUAGGUUUUGGAAGCCUUUGGAGUAGACCCCAUCAAGGGGUUUACAGAUUUUCAGGUGGUGGAAAAUGCAAAAAUCUAGGCAGAAACUGAGGCAGCCAUGAUACGAUUGGAUAUGAGUGAAUAUAUGGAGCAGCAAAGAAAUUAGUUGUCCUACUAGCUAGAUGCUUUUAGCCAUGGUCCAUGCAAAGCAGGACCAGAUUAGGUGGAUGGUCCCAAUCCAGGGUCUCCCUUCUACAUUUACAGAGGUGGAAUCAACUGCCAUUCAUAGGCAAUUUUAUAGAGGUGCACUUGUCUCUACCAGCUCAUCUAACAAGCAGUAGACAUCCACUAGUACUUUCAAUAUUCUCAACCAGGUGGUUAUUUUUGAGGUUGAGCAUAUUCAUAGGUUGAGCACCCUGUAAUUGAGAUGAUUGUUUGCCAACACCUUGUAGAGUGACAGAUCCAUGUAGCAAAUGGAGAACCUCUUCCCUUGACUCAGUUACAAGUGCCUUUAUAAGGUAAUUGCUAUCAAAGAAGCAGUACUUGACAUCAGACAUGAGCUAGAAAAGUAUGCUGCACGAUAUGUUAAUUUGAAUCAAUUAACCAUUCCUCACUAGAAUUGUUCGGAAUUCCACAUCAACUUUUAUUUCACUUUUGUCAGAUAUGACUUGGCUUCUAGCAUUGUCAAACCUGAUUUUACUUUCUUUCCCCUUUUCUAGUGCCUACUUUUCUUGCACAUGGUUGCAAGUUUCAUCAUUCUUGAAUAUGAAGCAAUUACAAGUAACCAAGAUAUCAGAAUCAUCAAAGAAUGCAUGAAAUGAUCCCAAUUUUCAGAAAUUUACUAAAAACCAAUCUUGUUUCAUUUUCAGCAUUAACUCCAUUCGGAAUUAUCACAACACAACAGGUUGGGCCUUUGUCAGUGUCAUUUUAUACAGGUGUUGAGAGUUCCAACUCCAUAGAAGCAGAAACUUGUACUUGAGACACCUACCCAUUUCAUGAAAAUGUGUGUUUUUUUUUUCAGCUCACAUCAUCCAGAUAAUUGUUCUACUUGACUGUUGUGGGCUUAAAAUCAUUGAGGUGUAUUCAAUUCAGCAAUCAACAAAGCAGUUGCCUGGUGUUGUUGGGUUCAGGUUGUCUGGAAAAUUGAACACAAUGGUGUUACAGCUACCGACUUAGUUUU